GAACGCACCUUGCGCCUCUUGGUAUUCCGAGGGGCAUGCCUGUUUGAGUGUCAUUGAAUCCUCAAAAGAAAAGCUUAACUGUUUCUCUUUUGGAACUGGAGCGUGCUGGCCUUUUGUUAGGAAGCCCAGCUCCUCUGAAAUACAUUAGCGAUGUGACAUCCGCAUGCCACCGCGCUUCCCUGGCAUUGAUAGUAUCUUCAUGCCUGAGCGUGUUUGUGCAGCUGUGGAAAGUUUUGCUCGCUCAUAACCUGGAUGGGGUCAGCCCAUCCUUUGACCAAUUUAACCUCAAAUCAGGUAGGAUUACCCGCUGAACUUAAG
rnacentral:misc_RNA from 1 species